CUCAGGACCAAACAUGGGGACUAAAGGACUCCAUCAUACGUUAUGGCUCAUCUACCUGACGCUGCUGGUUGGCUCACAUUCCCAGUCUGUAAAAAUCAUUCCUACACUAAAGACACUGAGCCUGAGUUCAGUUGACGCAAACCACAUCGCCGAGUAUGUUCGACUUGGGGAAACUAUCACUGGAAGACCUUUGAUGGGAAUUUCUUCCAGCUGCCCUC